rnacentral:lncRNA from 1 species
AGAAACUUAAAUUGGAAUCAAGAUGAAUGCUACCACCAACUGUAAAUCGGAGCAUUCUUCUUUUCAGAUUUUGCGCCAAAAUCUCAACUUUUCAGGUUUUUUCCUCAGCAAAUUAUUUAUAGCAAUUUCGUCUAAAAAUGAAUUAUUUUUGCUUUAUGAUUUGAUGUUUGAUUCUUAAACUGUAUAUAUAUUAAAAAACAAUUGGUGCUGGAGAUAAAAUCAUUAUUGUCUAUUACUUUUUCAAUGUUAUCAGUUUUUUUGCGAUGCCAUAUUUCAUAUUUGUAUUGCUAGCUUUGUUCAAGAAGCCUCAAUGUUUAUGAUUCAAUUUCUGAAAAUGUAAAGUUGAUAUAGUAAAAUCCAUCACACUAUAAGGUACACACAUAAUAAUAGCUUUUAUUGAUGAUAUAUGUUACAACAAUCAAAGGAACAUACAUAAUAACAUGACCAUAGGGGUUGAGGGAAUAAGAUUCCUUCUAGCCGAUUAUUCAUAGCAACAACACAACAAUCAUAGUAGAUUUUAGAUAGAGACACUGUUGGGAAUGCCUCUGAAAGUCAAUCCUUCUUCACUAGAAGGAUACAGCAGAGUGUAUGGCAUCUUCACUGGUCCGUAACGGUUUCUCAAUGACUCAUCAUUGUUCCUUUGGACGAGCUUUUGCUCGAUUUCAGCCAACUUCUUUCCGAACUUCUUGUAGGCCUCUAUUGGUUGUGAAUCAGAAGUCCAGAGAUCACCUUCGAUUCUCUGUCCGAGGUAUUGCUCAUCAGAAGCAUGCCUUGACAGUACCUCUAUAAUGGUUAGGUCUGUAAGGGUAUCGUUCUUUGGUGUGAUUGUCCGUAAAUACCCCUUCUGGUAGUCCUUAGCAAGCUCAUCAUACUCGGGGGAUCCUUUCUCGGGCAUGAAUCUCCGGCUCUUAGUUGGUCGGUUAAGGAUGUAUCCUCCAUAUGGGUAUUGUCCGAAAUUAACAGCAGCAUGAAGUGCUGAAGCUAUCCAUAUGAGGAUGGUGCAGGCUUCAAUCAACUCUGCACGAGUUUGCAUUUUAAACCACCAUGUAGCACUCUUCAAGUCACCAUGACCCACCUCUACAAGUUCUUUCCAGAAUGCUUGGAGCUCGGCAUCUUGUGCAAUAGCUUCAUCUGAUUUGUAGUAGAAAUUCACGUAUUCUUCAACCCACGACUUGAUAGCAGCCCAUAUCUCUAGUCCAUCAGAAGCAUAAGGAUAGUCCUCUAUCAAAAGGCGGAUGCCGUGUGGUGAAGCGGGAUCCACAACAGCCACUCCCCUGCAUAACGAGCAAGGUUGAUAAUAUUAACAUAAAAAAUAUACUUGUUUAGAUCAGUAUCUGUUUAACCGAUGAAAUACCUAGGAUCAAAUGUUUCGUAACAUUACCUUUUGAGUAGGUCAUUAGGUAGUCCUUGAUCAGUGAAAACCCAAUCCCUAUAUACAACAGCAGACAAUUCCAAAGAAUAUCCUCCCCACAAGAAUGUUGAUUCUAUAAUACCCUCAGCAUUGACCAGGACAUUUCUCGCAAGUGAAUUUAUGUUCAUUGUGUCACGGUAGUGUGGAAGCAAAAGUUUGUGCACAGGGUGAACCACACUAAGGUGUCUGUUUGUUGCUAUGAUGAACGGCUCAACAACAGCAUGAGUGUUCAACCUGUCAUACAUGUAUAUAUUAUUAAAUAACUUACAGGUAGAUAAACUAUAUUAAUAGGUAUAAAUCUCAUAAACUAAAUUCAUACCAAUGGCUAACAAGUUGAUGAUAGCAAGAGUCAUUUACAACUACAUAAGCUUUAGCAAGUAGCCAAAUAGAACCUUCAACACCUUCACUUGCAGGCAAGUAAACUUCACUAAUAGGGCCAUAACUAUCAUCUUGAGGACGUGGCUUACUUAGCUCAAUAGCCAGUGGCCUUAAAGUUCCAUUAUUUUGCAAGAAAAGGAAGGUCCUAGUAGCAUAGGCCUUUGUGUCAGUUGCGUUUAUUUUCCUCAAAUAUGGAAAUACCGUGUCAUGGUGAUCAAGGAUGUACAGCCUAUGGUUUUGGAUAGCCUAUUCAACAAAAUAUAAUUUAGUCAGUGAUCAUUUGAAUCAAUUCUUUAGAAAAAAAGUAAUAGCAUCAACUCUUCAUAGUAACGUUAAAUUGUGUUAUUACCUGUUCUACAGUGACCCCACCCAUGUUUGGCUCCAAAUGUCCUUUGGUCACAGUGCUGGUAUUAUCACCAUAUAGUUGUGUAUCUAGCUUGCUCCUUGCUGGGAACUCCUGCAUUAAAUAUAGCAAGCAACAAGCUUGCCAAUUAAAAUGUAGCAUAUAAAGAAGACAAAAUAGUCUUAUUUUGAUUUUUGUACUUGCUCAACAAUGUUAAACUAUUAAGUUUACCACAAGUUUUUUGAUGAUGUGUGGAUUCACACCAGCAAUCAUUUCCCUUGCAAAUUCCUCAUCAGUCAUCCAUGCAGAAUGAUCAACUGCUCAAAUUAAAAAAUUUAGAAGAUCCGUGAACUUUCUAUUAUUUUGUGUUCAUGUUUAUAUAUAUAAUGACAAGACUAGGAAUGUGUGACUAAUGUAUACCUUGAACCACUUUAGGUUUUGAAAACUUAAGGGCCGCUGCACCAUCCGAUCGAAAAAUUUCUUUGAACAAUGGUAUUGGGCUUAUGUCGCUAAGAAAAUUGGUAGGUACCUUAAUUCCACCUUCGUAAAGCGAGCGCACAUCUUCAAAGGUGUUAAACUCGGGUUGCUUGAGUUGUAAUGUAACUAUGGAUCUUAAUUGAGGUAUGAGAUUUUGAGAUGCUGAUUUGAGUAUGUAAGCAAGAAAGUCUGACGACUUCAAGUGACCAAAUGAUUCAUCUCUUGGAAGGUAAACAAAGUCGCUUCGACUCUCACUAUUAGGAUCUGUACACAUAUAUCAUAGCAAAAUAUAUGUUGGCAACACUAACAACAUCUCUAAAUUCAUAUUUAGAAACUAUUUGGGACAACCAAAGACAUAAGUGUUUCGAUAGAACAUAAGGUUAACCUUUCUUAGCUGGUUUUCUGCCUGUUCUGCCUCUCCGAGGGUAAGGCAAGAUGCUGGAUCCUCCAAGAACUGGACGAGCCAACGUAGCUUUUUGGUCAGGAGCUCCCAAAUCAUUGUAGACAUCAUAAUCAUAGAUUCUAUCCCACUCCUUGCGCUCUCCGGUUCCAUCUCCUCUUAAAGUCUUCAACUCUUCUUGUCUAUAGUGGACCAAUGGAGCCGGUGUUUCAUUUGGAAGAUAUGUCUACAUUUAUAUUUAUUUGAUUCAAUGUUGUCAAGUUUUGAGAAAUAAUUAUUUUAACAAUAAAUAAAAUUAAUAUUUAAAGAGUGAAAUAAAUAUGAAUAUGUUUCUUACCUUGUUGGCAAAAAAGAUGCGGUCACUUUUAUAUUUCUUAUCAUUGUAAAUCCAUGAGUUGCAAACAAAGUGGAUGCUUCCAUGGUUGGGAAUAUCUUCAAGGGUCAAACUUACAAGAAAGAAUUCAUGUUGCAUGAAAUUCUCAAUAUAAAAUGCUCCUGGAAUUCCCAUAUCACUAUUCCAUUCAAAAUGGAUAGUGUAGGCAGAUUGCCCUGCUCCCAAUGUUAGUAUGGAGGUAAGAAGACCCUCCAAAAAUGUUUGCUUUCCCACUUUUCCUUUUCCACUUCCUACACAAAUUUCAGAAAGUACAUUUUCAGUUUCAGAAAUUAUGAUUCUCUAGUAAAAUGUAUGUAUGAAUCGACUCAAAAUAUAAUUUGAACCUAAGAUCUAAAGAGUAACACACUUCUAAAUCUCAGAUCUUGACUACCAAAUCAAUUCAUGAUGGUUUUGUUAGAACUCGUGAAUUUGGAACUGCAAAGUGAAUUCCUUUAUGAGUAUAAAAAAAAUUUAGAGACUCAUGUGUAACUCUUAUUUCAACCUGUUAUCAGAAUUUGACAACAAUGUAUUUCAUUUCUAAAAAUAGAAAAUAAAAUAAAAUAAUUUCUUUUUAAAAUAUACUCCAAAAUAUAAUAUAUUUUUAGUUUAUAUUAAAUUGUCUUAAUAAAUUUAUCUUUAUUAAUUUUUAUCUUUUAUACAUAUUUGAGUGUGAAAAAGGUUAUCCCUUUUACAAAUAUCUGAGUGGUUUCAGACCUUGGCAAGGCCCAAAAGGCAAAAACAGUCUGUAAUUUUCUAAGAUAAAUACUAAAAUUGAUUAAAAAAAUUAUACAUAUUAUAGACAUUAAAUUUAAAAGAUCGUGAUUUUAUAUAAUAUUUAAAUAAAUAAAACACGUUUUAUUUUAUUAAGCAAAUAUAAAUUACUUUUUCCGUCCCAAAUUAUAUAUAUUAUUUGUUAAUUUUACUCAUAAAUAAACAUCAUAAAUGAAAUACUUAUUUUACCAAAUUAUUCUAAAUAAAAUACUAGAGUGUUUACCAUUAUUAUAACAAAUGUAAUUAUUCGAGAGUUAUGUACAUAAAACUGUUAAUUAAAUAAUAAAUAAGUAAAAAAUAAUUAAUAAUACAUGAAAAGUAAAAAAAAAAAAGGUUUUUUUUUAAAUAAAUUAUUUAGACAAAUAUAACAUCCAUUAUGAGAUGAGAAGUGUAUCUUAUUUUGUGUAACUUUUAAGAUAGUUUUUUUAGUUACAAUCUUUUAUAGGCUUCCAUUAUGAUAUACUGUACUAGUUAAGUUAAACUGUGUUGUCUAUGAAAAUGAAACAAUUAUUUUAGCUCAUUAUACUCGUUAUAACUUAAAGGCAUUAUAGAUUUAUCAUAGAGAUGAUUUAUUUAACAUGAGAGAAGUUAUUAUGUUACCAUCAGCACUUGUAGCACUAAUCAACUUAAGAGCCACAGAACGUCCUAUGAAUGAAGUAGCAGUAUCAACAACUGUCCCAAUGGCACCACCGAUAGCACCAAAUGCACCAGUCACUAUACCA